rnacentral:rRNA from 1 species
GACGUAGGGCGCGAGCGUUGUCCGGAUUUAUUGGGCGUAAAGAGCUCGUAGGCGGCUUGUUGCGUCGGCUGUGAAAACCCGCGCCUUAACCGUGGGCUUGCAGCCGAUACGGGCAGGCUAGAGUUCGGUAGGGGAGACUGGAAUUCCUGGUGUAGCGGUGAAAUGCGCAGAUAUCAGGAGGAACACCAGUGGCGAAGGCGACUUCCUGGCCUGUUCUUGACGCUGAGGCGCGAAAGCUAGGGGAGCAAACGGG